rnacentral:lncRNA from 1 species
ACAACUAGACACCCAGGGCACUACUCCAUAACCCCACGGGAUUGACGGACACCUACUGAAGCAGUUUUCCGGUGAAUAAAGACCGUGUGUUGGCGGCGGCCCAUAACGAACAGGCACAAAGAACGGACAGCGGACCACAUACCUUGUAGGAGUGGAGGACAGCAUGGUGGACCACAUACCUUGUAGGAGUGGAGGACAGCAUGGUGGACCACAUACCUUGUAGGAGUGGAGGACAGCAUGGUGGACCACAUACCUUGUAGGAAUGGAGGACAGCAUGGCGGACCACAUACCUUGUAGGAGUGGAGGACAGCAUGGCGGACCACAUACCUUGUAGGAGUGGAGGACAGCAUGGUGGACCACAUACCUUGUAGGAGUGGAGGACAGCAUGGUGGACCACAUACCUUGUAGGAGUGGAGGACAGCAUGGUGGACCACAUACCUUGUAGGAGUGGAGGACAGCAUGGUGGACCACAUACCUUGUAGGAGUGGAGGACAGCAUGGUGGACCACAUACCUUGUAGGAGUGGAGGACAGCAUGGUGGACCACAUACCUUGUAGGAGUGGAGGACAGCAUGGUGGACCACAUACCUUGUAGGAGUGGAGGACAGCAUGGUGGACCACAUACCUUGUAGGAGUGGAGGACAGCAUGGUGGACCAUAUACCUUGUAGGAGUGGAGGACAGCAUGGCGGACCACAUACCUUGUAGGAGUGGAGGACAGCAUGGCGGACCACAUACCUUGUAGGAGUGGAGGACAGCAUGGUGGAGCUCAAGGGCAGCGGCGUCCCUCCAGAGCGUGAUGUUAGACCUAGUGUCUAGACCCAUUUUCUCACCUAUCGUCUUCACGCAAAAAAAUAGUCUUUGUGAAUUUGUGAGGUCGGUGAGAUCUUCAUUAGAUACUGGUACUGUCAGUCGACCUUGCGCUGGGGGGCUCCCCGCUCACCGACCUUGUCCUGACGCCACGAGCAGUGACGCCCCGGCUCGUCUCUGACACUCUGGCCUGUGACGGUGACGGAACGGUGCGUUAUAAUGACGGAACGGUGCGUCACGAUGAAGGACCGGGACGUCACGUUAAUUUAAUUUUGGCCGGAGAGGCGAGUUUAUUGGCCCACAGCGCCACUCAUCCCGUACGUCUAGGAACAGACGACUGCUGACUCCUGUUAACUGGCUGAGAGCUUUCCUUUCCAGUGGCUCAUAGUGUGAGAGGAUGGUCUCUCAAGAUUAUCCCACAGCUGACUUGAAUGGUUCAUUGCAGUGCACAGUGCACCGAUCUCGUGCACAAGCCCUAUCUCUGUUAACCCUGGAUGGUAAUCUGUCAUGUUGGGUGUCCCCAGGAUGCCCACAUAACCAGGAAUACUUAUAAAAUACGGAGGCCACUGUAUGCUCAAGGGUAAAUUAGAUACAGGGAAGGCGACAGAUCUGACCUCUGGGGUCAGCCUGAACCGGAGCGAUGGAGAAUAACUACUGUGACAUGGUCGUGACGUGUUCAUGACGUCACCUCGGUUACUGACCAGGGAACGAUCAAUAUGAUUGGUUCCCACUCUUUUGCUGUGAUGCCAUUGGUCAAUUGUAACCCCUUGUGUUUGUGCCCACGAGGAGCCCUGCAGCUGUUUGCAAGGGUAUUCACGUGAGGAAACCCGUACAUAGAGGACGUGUUCUGUUCUGUCUAUCGGCCAAUAGACAGAAGAAAACCGUCUAUUCCUCACCCUACAGUUAAACUCAGCGUCUUUUCGAUAUACCAACGCUCGCCCGGAAUCGCAAUUGUGACUAUAUUGUUCAGAAGCCUAGUGACAAAUCACCAGAGCGAAACAGACAGGUAUCAGGUAACCCCUGGUGACAAAUUGAGAUCGUUGUGAGUGACUUAGAAAGAAUUAUGGUAGUACCGCCGCCUAAGUAAAUCUGUGAGUGACUUGCCGAAGUGUACCGCUUGGUACCAUAAAACCUGCAGCCACCAGCCGUCACUGUACAGAGUGUGUAGCUAGCCUCCAUCCGCCACCCGCCCUGCCUCACUGUACUACGUGACGUCAUCACCCGGUCACACCUUGCUCACCGCCAGUGCCAUCAAGUGUGUACGUGUGUCUGUUAGACAUACAGCGCGCCCUCCUGCGAGUCCCCUCCGUGUCAAAUACGGUUUGUUGGGAAAGCCUGUCGUCGAUGGUCUCACGUCAGAACGAGCGAAACCAGCUGUAAGGCCACCUAAGAGUUUUUGCAUGAAUAUGCAUGAGUGAGUGAAUAAGAGAGGUAGCCAUACCUAUAAGUACAAGAUCUUGUUAUUGUAUUAUUGUGUCUGUCUGUGUUGAUCUGAGUGGUCAACCACAGUUCUCACCCUCUCAUACCUGACAC